rnacentral:rRNA from 1 species
GGGCCCCUACGGGAGGCAGCAGUGAGGAAUAUUGGUCAAUGGGCGAGAGCCUGAACCAGCCAAGUCGCGUGAGGGAAGACGGUCCUAUGGAUUGUAAACCUCUUUUGCCGGGGAGCAAAAAGCGGUACGUGUACCGCAUCGAGAGUACCCGGAGAAAAAGCAUCGGCUAACUCCGUGCCAGCAGCCGCGGUAAUACGGAGGAUGCGAGCGUUAUCCGGAUUUAUUGGGUUUAAAGGGUGCGCAGGCGGCGAGUUAAGUCAGCGGUAAAAUCGCGGGGCUCAACCUCGCUCCGCCGUUGAAACUGG